AAGGUAUAACAGACAACAGCUUGAUAUUCAAGAGGAAAGUCCGAGCUGCAGUGAAGCAAGGCUUCAUUUAACGAAUGACUGGAGUAAUCCAAGGGAUAGUGCAACAGAAAGGAAACAGCCACUUAUGUGGUGAUGGUGAAAGGGUAGUGUAAGAGACUACCAGACUUUUGAGCAAUCUUAAGUGCUAUGUAAACCCAGCUUGCAGCAAAAACGAUAUGGUAUAAGCUUCACAUUUUUGUCGUUUGCAUGAGUUUUAAAGUGAUUUAAAACCUUAGAUAAAUUGUUGUCAAAUACAAAACUCGGCUUAUAGUUAUACCUUUUUU
rnacentral:RNase_P_RNA from 1 species